GAUGGCACAUAAAUGUUGGUCAUCUGAUUUUUGAAAAUGAUCCACCCAGUUUGGCUACAUUGUUUCGAUAAUACUAUCUUUUAAGUUUGCUUGAAUAUUGUAAUGAAACAAAAUUUCUAUUUUUAAGUGGUAGAACCUACGUGAAACUUGCAGAGAAAAUAUGCUGAUGAAAAUUGCAUACCGAUGACGAUCAUCGUGGGGAUGAUGCUGCUGAGGGUGGUACCUUCAAUUUGCCCACGAUAUAUCAGCGGGAGGUAAUCUGGCCGUCCGUUGCCCAUUUUCGUUGGAGCGAUGUCUGAACUUCGUCGGGCGGACCCACACUGCCGACGAUGAAGCCAAGGAAUUACCGGCUCCCGAUUGGGAUAUAUCUUCAAUCAGUGGAAUUUUGAAUUUGCUGACUGAAAUUAAAUAAAAGAAAUUUAAAACAAAUUAAAACAUA